rnacentral:rRNA from 1 species
CAGCCGCCGCGUUAAUACAGAGGGUGCGAGCGUUAAUCGGAUUUACUGGGCGUAAAGCGUGCGUAGGCGGCUUCUUAAGUCGGAUGUGAAAUCCCUGAGCUUAACUUAGGAAUUGCAUUCGAUACUGGGAAGCUAGAGUAUGGGAGAGGAUGGUAGAAUUCCAGGUGUAGCGGUGAAAUGCGUAGAGAUCUGGAGGAAUACCGAUGGCGAAGGCAGCCAUCUGGCCUAAUACUGACGCUGAGGUACGAAAGCAUGGGGAGCAAACAGGAUUAGAUACCCCUGUAGUCCCUGUCUCUUAUAC